rnacentral:rRNA from 1 species
AGCGAACGCUGGCGGCGUGCCUAACACAUGCAAGUCGAACGGUUCUGUUGGGGCUUGCUCUCGACAGAGUAGUGGCAAACGGGUGAGUAACACGUGGGUAAUCUUCCUUCGAGUGAGGAAUAACUUCGGGAAACCGGAGCUAAUACCGCAUAACAUCUUGGAACGGCAGUUCUAAGAUCAAAGGGGGCGCAAGCUCCCGCUUGAAGUUGAGCUCGCGUCCUAUCAGCUAGUUGGUGAGGUAAUGGCUCACCAAGGCUCCGACGGGUAGCCGGCCUGAGAGGGUGGCCGGCCACACUGGGACUGAGACACGGCCCAGACUCCUACGGGAGGCAGCAGUGGGGAAUAUUGCGCAAUGGACGAAAGUCUGACGCAGCGACGCCGCGUGGGUGAUGAAGGCCUUCGGGUCGUAAAGCCCUGUUGAGGGAGAGAAAGCUACUGUCGGUUAAUACCCGGCAGUGGUGAUAGUAUCCCUAGAGAAAGCACCGGCUAACUACGUG